GAUGAACGCUAGCGGCAGGCCUAACACAUGCAAGUCGAGGGGGAGGUUCUUUCGGGUAACUGAGACCGGCGUACGGGGGCGUAACGCGUAUACAAUCUGCCUUUCACUGGGGGAUAGCCCGAAGAAAUUUGGAUUAAUACCCCAUAGUAUAGUAAAUCGGCAUCGUGAUGCUAUUAAAGCUUAGGGGGGUAAAGAUGAGUAUGCGUUCUAUUAGCUAGUUGGAGAGGUAACGGCUCCCCAAGGCGAUGAUAGAUAGGGGUUCUGAGAGGGAUGUCCCCCACACUGGUACUGAGAUACGGACCAGACUCCUACGGGAGGCAGCAGUGAGGAAUAUUGGACAAUGGUCGGAAGACUGACCCAGCCAUGCCGCGUGCAGGAUGAAGGUCUUAUGGAUUGUAAACUGCUUUUGUAAGGGAAGAAUAAGGGCUACGCGUAGUUUGAUGACGGUACCUUACGAAUAAGCAUCGGCUAACUCCGUG
rnacentral:rRNA from 1 species